AUGGAAAGAGAAAGAGGAUUGAGGAAAACAGGAAAUAAUUAUUUUUUCAAGCUAAGUGAUUGUAUUUGUGGGUUCGACAGUGCUUUGUUUAGAGAAUAUGAGUGUUUGUUUGGGAUUUGGUUUGAAGUACUCUUAGUUGAAAUUUAUGCAUAAAAUGGAAAGGAGAAGAAAUGGGUGCAUAAUUACUCACCGUUAACGCAUCCUUCGUCUGUUCUCCGAUGCACCGGAAUCGCAGGCUUCAUUUCGGCCCAACCACAAUUUAAAGGAAUCCGGCUACACCCCUCCCACAAUCGCGUCCUCCUCCGCCACCUCCGCGCACAACUCCUCACUAUUCACCGCAAAACCCCCCAUCUGUUCUCCGUCGCUCAAACCGUCGUCCCUUCCGAAUCUCUUCCGGGAACUUCGCACACAUCCGCCGUGCACCAUCCGUAA